rnacentral:lncRNA from 1 species
UUCCGCCUUAAAACCUAGCUUUUUUAUCAUGUUUACUGCAUUGUCAAAAGUUCAAUAUUUUACUGAUGUAUAGAAUUCAUAGUUAAAGUCAUUGACGCUGCCAUUAGCUGGUGAUGACAAAUGUGUUAAUAAACAAAAACCACCCGUUUUCUUUGGCACAAUGCCAAUAGGAGAAACUCGUAGAUUUGAACUAGGUCGAUAAUAAAAGGGGCCCGCAAUUCUGCCAUUUUCCUCUUCACUCAUGACUUUUCUCCAAGCUAAACUUGGAUCUUGUAAAACAGACUUUUAAUUUUUGCUUUCAUAAGCAGCCCUUGGGCCUGUAUAAUGUGUACGAAAACCAUAUUUAAAACAAUUAAAUAAUAUAUUUACCGAUAUUAUAUCGGGGUAGUUUUUCAACAUAUUCCCUUAAACCGUAGUAUUAAUAGGGGUAAAACCCAAAC